rnacentral:lncRNA from 1 species
AUGACUUAGAAAUCUUAAAGUUGUUGUAGCUUUAAAAGCACAACUGAAAGCAGAGACCAGUGACCUCAACCAAAUUCCAAGACUUUCAUCUCCUGCUUUAAACAACAUUCAAUGGGAAAAUGGGACUUAUUUGCAAAUGAAACUUAAUGAAAAGACUAAUCGAUAGAAUUUUAUUUUUUUUUAAACGGAAAAUUUUAAAAUUUAUGUGAUGUUUUAAUAUAUUUUUUAAAAUUAAGAAAAUAAUUAGUGAAAAUUUUAAUAUUACUAAAUUAAAUAUUUUUUAUUUUUAAGUACUUUAAAUAUUAUAAAAUAUGAAAAAAAAUUUCUCAAAAUAUUAUUUCCACCUAAACAGACUUUUAAACUCUUAAAAUGACCCAAAAUGAAUAAAAAAGAUAUUACAUUUUUUUUUCUCAGUCUAGGCUAAAUUUUAAUAAUCAAUUUCAUAAAGAAUAUUAUUUCCAUCCCAUAAUUUUUAUCACCUUUUUUAAUUAUUCUAAAAUUAUUUUUUUUACUAUAAUAACAUAUAAAUUAAUUAUUAUAAUCCUAUUUAUUUUUAUUUUAUUUUUAAAAAAUCUCCCAAAAUAUUUUUUAAUAUUUAAUAUAGUUAAAAUGAAUAUAAUGAAAAAAUUAUAUUUCUUAAUAUAUGUAAGAAAUAAAUUGAAAAAAAAUUAUGGAACUUGUUUAUUGAAUAAAUAUUAAAUAAGAUAUUUUUAAUUUUUGUGAAAAUUCAAUUUCCGUGUGAAUGAAUACCUUUACAAAUCAGUAAUUAGUAAUAUGAAUAAAUUAAAAAAGUCAAUAAUUGCUUGUGCAUUAAAGAAGACAGAUUUCAUCUACAAAAAGCCGCAGCAUUUUUCUUAAUAAUAUUUUAAAAAUGGAGUUUACCAGCAACAAUAUCCAGAUGAAGCCAUCCUCUUAUCUCUUCAAGCCAACAAACUUGCUUUCCUUGCUCUUGCUGUGUAAUCUUAUAGCAUUUUCUCGCUCUUUUUCUUCUACGCAGCCACGAUGCCAUGACAAUGAGCGAUCUUCUCUGUUGCAAUUCAAGGAAAGCUUUGUCGUCGACAAUUCCAUUAAGGGUUGUGAUCCUUUUGCUCCUUCAAAGAUCGAUUCAUGGAAGCUCUUCCAUGGCGAAAGAAUUAGUGACUGUUGCUCAUGGGAUGGUGUGGAAUGUGAUGAAGAAACCAAUCAUGUGAUUAGCCUUGACCUCAGCAGCAGUUGUCUCUUUGGUUCUAUCAACUCCAACAGCAGCCUGUUUCAUCUUCUUCAACUUCGAAAGCUUAAUCUUGCGUACAAUGACUUCAACUUUUCUCCAAUACCUGCACGAGUAGGCCAUUUCUUGAGGUUAACUCAUCUCAACCUCUCUUCUUCUGGCUUUUCUGGUGAAAUCCCUGAUGAAAUCUCUAAUCUAUCCAGCUUGAUUUCCCUUGAUCUCUCUGGUAACAAUGAUCUGAGGCUCCAUAAGCUUAGUAUGAGAGGUCUAGUACAAAACCUGGCUCAUUUAAAAGCACUUCAUCUCUCGAAAGUUGACAUAUCAUCAAGGGUGCCUGACCUCUUGGCGAAUUUUGUGGCUUUGGAGUCUCUCCAACUUGA